rnacentral:rRNA from 1 species
AUUGAACGCUAGCGGCAGGCCUAAUACAUGCAAGACGAACGGUAAGCAGUGUAGCAAUACAUUGCCUAGAGUGUCGUAAGGGUGCGUAACAAGUAUGCAAUCUGCCCUCAACAGGAGGAUAGCUCCCCGAAAGGGGAAUUAACACACCAUAAUAUGUGUGAGCCGGCAUCGGCUAGACAUUAAAACUACGGAGGUUGAGGAUGAGCAUGCUUCUGAUUAGUUAGUUGGUGGUGUAACGGACCACCAAGACGAUGAUCAGUAGGGGAACUGAGAGGUUGAUCCCCCACACUGGCACUGAGAUACGGGCCAGACUCCUACGGGAGGCAGCAGUAGGGAAUAUUGGUCAAUGGAUGCAAGUCUGAACCAGCCAUGCCGCGUGCAGGAAGAAGGCCUUCUGGGUUGUAAACUGCUUUUGUCAGGGGAUAAAAUGAGCGUGCGCGCUUAAUUGAAGGUACCUGGCGAAUAAGCCACGGCUAACUACGUGCCAGCCGCCGCAGUAA